AUUAUACCUUUGUCAAUAUACGUUUCAUGACAAGACGUAUAUUGACAAAGGCAAUUAUUAUUGUCCGGAAGUAGUUGGAGUUUUCUUCGAGAGUCGGGCCAGCCCCGUCAAUAUUAUAAUAAUUAAUAACGGGCAGCCGUUAUUAUUCGUCAAAAUUGUAUGGUCUUUUUUGACAAAUCAACAACGUCGCUAAGUAACUUAUCGACAGAUUACGGAUAGAUUGAUGAUUAAUUUUGGGCGUUGAGAUUUGAGACGAGUCGUCCGAUUAUUGUUCUGAAUUAAUUAGCGACGAAUCGGACCAGUUUCCUUUCCAUAAGCCCUUGAUGAGACUUGGUACUCGUAACGAUAUUGCGAUCAUUGUGGCCGACACAAUCCUAUUGAUUUGACGAAUCGUGUUUUUUCGUCGCGUCGAGCUGCUCUCUCGUGUAGAUCCUUCGUCGCAUCUCAGUACGGUGACUCAAGACUGACCAGUCACGCGAUAACUAUCACUUCAGUCAAGACUGACUUGCAUUUUUAGAUAAAAAAUAGUUGAUUAUUGUAUAAACUUAGCACUACGGUUUAGAGAUUGUGUGCUGGGCCCUUAUUCGAUGUGACAUUCAAAUCGCAACACGCUCCUAACUGCCACUUGUGAUGUUAAGGUAGAAACGUACAGACGGUUAAACAGCUGUACUAUAUAUAAUUCAUCAAAUCCAGUGAAUGAUAAAGCAUAGAAACUGUGUUUCUACUUUCGAAGAAAUUGUUAUGAAAAUAGGGGCCACAGGCUCAUGUACAUGUUAAGUACGUAACUUCUAUUAAAUUUGCCUAAAUUACAAGUCUCGUGAUUGCUUCUGCGUGGCUUGCGACAUUGACCGCUGUUUCCUGUUGUCUGUUGUUGACAUUUCCGGAGUUACAAUCGAAUUACAGACGCGUGCGGAAGAGAUUGUGGUGCCUACCUUUACCCUGGCGGGCACUAGGGUGAGGUUUGGAGUGUACGGAAUAUUUCUAUGCUUUGUCGUCCAUUGAACAAAUCGUACAGCAAUGUAUGAGCGCGCACACAUAAGCAAUAUUAGCGUAUGAUAAAUCGUGAUAGCUAUUUUUUUUUAAUGACAGCCUAUCAUUAACCGCCCAUGCGUUUCUCUGACGUACCAGUUAUUUUAUUAUGGAGAAGAGGAAAGGCCUCAAAAUUAUUAGCGUAAUAUGUUGUGUUGAAUGAUCACAACAGAUAGCAAAAAAAAAAUUACGUCACUAAGUUUUGUGUCAAAAGUUCUACGGUUUGGGUGAUGAAUCAAAAUUCAAAGGUUCGAAUCCAACUCGUUGAACUAUCCUGCUCCAAACACUAGCUUUACGCUUUGUGGGAAGGAAACGGGACAAUUAGUCAUCAAGUCUAGUUGAAAAAGUUGCGAUUUCAAGGUCGCAGAGAAUCAGGGCCCUAACGGCCUUUCCUUGCUCUCUUUGAUUUGAACAAAUGCGCUUUGGCGAUGACCUCUGUAAGCUUAGUACAACACAUCUCGUCAACGUUGACAUGCUACAAGUAUUACGCUAAUGUCAUAGCAAAAUGGGUCUACACUCAGUUGUUUUAAGGUUUUAAUUUGUCUGUACAUUUAUCGCCAGCGCCCCAAGACAUGAAUCCGUAGUUACUAAAAAAUCUACUUUAAACUUUUACAUUACGGUCCAUUUUACUGUGACAUUAUAGUGUUUUGAUUUGCGCGUGCGCGUUGGUGAGGUGUGCAAAGUUGUAUAAUGCUCAGAUUUUGAAAACGCACUUGCCAUUUGCUCUUGCUCUAUCCCAUAUCAAAAGUACGGUUUACCCUUAGAUAAGGGACUAAAAUAAUACUAAUAACCUAACUAUUGUACGACGUACUGGGAAAAUUCAAUAGUAGUUCUGAAACCGAGCCACCUCCUUCGUGUUUUAUUGCUACGCGGCAUUGGCGAAGUAAAUUGUGCUGUGGUGGCUCUACCAAAAGCCACUAAACCAAGAAACAACAACAAAAUCGUCCUUUUGAUAUGACAGAGCAAACAUGGCAAGUGCGUUCUCAAAAUGUAUGCAGUAUACUACCGUACGCGCAUACAGAGCUCUGCCGUCGAUCAAUCAAGUGUAGUUUCAGAAGGCCAAGGGUACCUCACUUGUAUGUCAUUGGUGUUAUCGAUUUUAGUACCAUCAGAUUGUCAAAGACGAUAUGAUAUACGAAAAUAUUAUGUAAGAAUGUAAGGUAAGGCCCUAUAGGAGAGAUAUUUUUUUAUGCAUUACAAGAAAUUUUCUUACAUUGCCUAUUUGUAGUUUAAAAAAAGUAAUAUAAAAUCUUAAAGAGGGUCUAUUCGGUCAGACCAUUCUACAACCGAACUAAAGCGGCUAAAAUGUUGCCAGGCCAGUGGUCAAGUCACGAAUUACUUAAGGUUGGAGUUCCUUGUUGCAUUAUAAACGUAUCGUAUACGCACUGCGUAUGCAAAUCGCAACCGUCGCCGAGUAUGACGUUACGCAGUGCGUUUGUGCGCGCUAAAAACCCGGUACUUCAGUAGUAAUCGACUUUCAUUGCGUGCAAUAGGGAUGGAUGGUACCUAUUAGUGAAAUCAGCAAAUUUUCAUCAAGCGUUUUGAACGCUCGCUUAGUAAGGUAGCUUUUAUGAAAAACAGAUGUGACGUCAUAAACAUUUGACGUACUUUUUUAAGUUAAAUCGAAUUUUCGCUCUAUAUUAAUAAUUAAUAAGAAAUAAUUUAUUUUUGACACAGGCAUCAUCCCAAAUUGUGCAUUGCGUCCAUGCGUUUCGUUCAUACGCAUCAAGGAUCUCCCUAGUGAUAAUAUGGUGACCGUGAAGUGGUUUGACGCUUGCGUGCGAGUGGUAUUGGCCAUACGUUUGCGACAACGGACUGCAAACUUUGGUAUAACGCUUGCCAAUAAAGGAAUUAAAUGAGUGGUGCUAAUCAUUCGAUAUCUCACUUACACAGUAUGCCUACAUACCUGUGUAACUGUAUAGUGUGAGUGAGACGGAAUGAUUAGCACAGUUUCGUUUCGAUUCGUUUGUUUAUUGGAACGAAUAUGUGUAAUAAUGAAUUGACGUUUCCAUACAGUGGCCGGCGACAUGUGCCGCUUAUGGGGCUGUGGUUCUGGCACGUUUGACAGAACUUCGGACUUAGGCUGUUCGACUGUAUCAGGUGAAAAUGUUAUUUUCUCAAAUCGAAAAUGUACAUUCUCCACGAAAUUGCGCAUAAUCGUUAUUGUUGGUGAAGUUUUUUUUUUAUACUUGCAGCUUGUAAUCAAGUCUUUUUUUUAUUUAUAAAAACGGGCUAAAGUAUUUGUGAAGGCAUCGGAUACGUGGUGUAAAAUAAAAUACUUUAGUAAUGAGAACAAUAUUUUUCUUUAUCAAGUCUUUGUAACUGCAUAUGAAAAUCCUUUAUUUUUAACAAGUCAUAUUAUUCUGCUGAGCUGGUCGAAAAAAUGCCAGUUGUAUUUCGUUGGAAUAAGUAUUUUACUAGGAUACAUUUUAGAGCUAUUACGUUAUUAUUUUUACAACUAAGAGGGGACUCUUAUCAAAAACUUGUCGUCGCACUGCGCUCUACCUGCCCCCGUAAAGUACGAAAGGGACAACAGCAGCAAGAUUUUACCUACAAAAACCUUGACCAAAAAACGUUUCGUAUUCCGCUGAUUUCUUCUGCAAAACUGAAACGAUCCCGAAAAUUCUUAUAUCAAAAUUUAGAGGAAAAGUUUUUUUGGGUAAAAUCAUUGCUCUAGAGGCAUUAUCCGCGAAGAAAACAGCGGAAUGCGUUUGUAUGAAGAAAGGCCCAAUAGAGUCCCCUCUUAAAACUGAAUUUGUAUAUAGAAGUUUGCGCGUCGCGUUUACACGGUAGGAAAACUGACAUUCAGAAAAUUCUUAAUGUUCCUUCGACUGUAUAGUUCGCAUGAUAGUAAGGUAUGGCGAACGUAUACAUGCACGCACGCACGCAAAAAUAAGCGUGCGUCUGCGCAACUAUGUAAGUUGACGUUUAGGAAAUUCGUAUCCCUAAGAUCGGUAUCUGUGUUCCUUUUAAGUAACAUGUUCGCACGAAAAAAUGGGAAGAAACGUACCUACACGCACCGCGCACGCAAAAGCUAGUAUGCGUUGGUUUUUUUUUAAUUGAUCGAAUCGAUUUGACAGUUUGUAGAUAUUGCAAAAAAUGAGCAACAAAUCAUUUCCUACAUCCCAUACAUUUAGUCGUUUAGUUUUAUUUUGAAUCGUUAGAAAUUAGUAUAUGUAUGUUAAAUUUUUACAAAACCUUGCCCCUUAUUUUUGAGCCGAUCAAGAAUAGACCUCGUGUGACCUAUAUAACUCUCCUACCGUGUCAACGCGGCUAUGAAUCAUUUUAUAAAAAAAAAUAUUUCUUUGGUCUGAACUACACGUGGUUAUGUCUAGUUUUGCAAAUGCUAACUAGUUGCUGUAAAGGCGCCAGGUAAAGAGAACUCUGAACUUGUACCUGCGCAGUGGGUGAUGUACCUAUUUGGUGCCACGAAGUGCCUCGCUGUGCUAUUCGAUCGUUAAUCAAUUGUGCGAUCCCUUGAUAUAGGAAAGUACGAUACCCAUGCGCAGACAUAUCCAGUGUUGUAUAGUAUGAAAUCGAGCGUCGAAACAUUUCAGCGUUAAAGUAAAAUGGAUUUUAAUUUUCCUUGCUUUAAAGAUUAAUUUCGUUCAUACGUCUACAGGCAGCGCUCUAAGUGGAAACAUUGUGAAAUUAAAAUCGGUAGUACUGAAUUUUUGACAUUAAAUCAAGGAUCUUUCGGUCCAUUUUCCGUUGUUGUGUUUAGUUAAGACGUUCAAAAUUCAUCAACGUUAAGAUGUCAAAUGUCAUACUAAGCACAGCUCUUUUUUUACAUUUAUUAUAGUGUCUGCAUAAUUAUUUGUAUGACAAAUUAAUUACCUUUUGUAUAUCUUAUCUUGGCGAUAUCUUACAGGUAUAACGAUGUCUAUCUAACCGCUUGAUUGAGCUGACUCGUGCAGGUUGCGGAAGGGUGAUGGUGACUGUAGAUAAUUAAUUCCUUGAUUUCUUCUUUAACUGUCAUCCUCAAGCGCCUGCCUAUCUCACGAGCCGUCUCAGUGAAACGGCAUACCUAUAGGAAGUAACUUUUGCAAAACUCAUAAGGCAGAUCCACACUUGCGCACGCGCACGAACCGUGCACACAAAGGGCAACAUAGUACAAUGUGGCCGUUGGACGUGUCCACGAGGCUUUGCGAGCGGUUCGCGUGCAUGUUUGCGUUUUUUUUAAUUUUUGACAGUGAAUACAAACAUGAUAUUAUACAAUGUAACCAGAACGCUAGCAAAAACAUAGCGUUAUUAUUAUACUACCUUAACACAAUCCAAUGCCAAUUUGCCUUAUCUUGUAGUUUUAGUGAUUUAGAAUUUUUCAAAACCAUAUCGUAUAGCGAGCAAAACUCGGAUCAAUGCCCCACCUACGACGCGGCAUUGACUUCGAGUGACCUAUUUACGGAACGUUCGUUGACCUCUAGCGCCAGUCAGAUGUUUUAUUUGCAAUAUAUAUUGUGAACUUUAUAAAAUACAAGAUGUUUUUUUAGUUUUUUCUAUGGUGGUCUUCAUUUUUGCUAGCGUUCUGGUUACAAACAUGUAUGCGUUCGCGACAUACACGUGCGCCCAGAGAUAGUGAUGCGUCCAUAGACGUUUGAUGCGCAUGCGUGUACGGCUAGUGGUGCGCGUGCGCAGGCGUGGAUCCACCUAUAGACCAUACUGUAGACGACUUGUGUAGUCCAAAACCAAAUCCUAAUACAGUUGGGUCAUGACUCAUGACAAAUUAAGUGUUUUAUAGUGUAAGUACUAAAUUAACUUUUUUUAAUUAUUAUUUUUCACGGGGCAAGGGUUGGCUCAAAAUCUGAGAGUUGAUAUUAAGUACAGAAGUUGUAUAUACCUACGUAAGAAUUUGGAUAUAGACGGAUGUUAGUUGUAAAACUUAAUAAUCCACAUUUGUGCAAUUUUUCUACGUGUAUUAUUAUUUUGUUUGUGUCAAUGUGCGAACAUUACCGAAUUAAAAUAGCAUUGGCUCUUGGAUUUAAAAAAAAAUGUGAAUGCAGUAAACUAUUUAAUAACAAUCUGUCGAAUUAAAAUCUGUACAAAAGAA